GUACUUACUUUGGCAACACGUACACUAAAAUUGGAAUGAUACAGAGAAGAUUAGCAUGACUACUGCAUUCAAGUAUGACAUGCAAAGUCAUGAAGUGUUCCAUAUUUUU
ensembl:snRNA U6 U6 spliceosomal RNA